UACAGAGGGUGCAAGCGUUAAUCGGAAUUACUGGGCGUAAAGCGUGCGCAGACGGUUGCGUAAGUCAGAUGUGAAAGCCCCGGGCUCAACCUUGGAAUUGCAUUUGAGACUGCGUAGCUAGGGUGCGGAAGAGGGAAGCGGAAUUUCCGGUGUAGCGGUGAAAUGCGUAGAUAUCGGAAGGAACACCAGUGGCGAAAGCGGCUUCCUGGUCCAGCACCGACGUUCAGGCACGAAAGCGUGGGGAGCAAACAGG
rnacentral:rRNA from 1 species